UACGUAGGGUGCGAUCGUUAAUCGGAAUUACUGGGCGUAAAGCGUGCGCAGGCGGUUCGUUGUGUCGGCGGUGAAAGCCCCGGGCUUAACCUGGGAAUGGCCGUUGAAACUGGCGAACUGGAGUGUGGCAGAGGGGGGUGGAAUUCCGCGUGUAGCAGUGAAAUGCGUAGAGAUGCGGAGGAACACCGAUGGCGAAGGCAGCCCCCUGGGCUAACACUGACGCUCAGGCACGAAAGCGUGGGGAGCAAACAGG
rnacentral:rRNA from 1 species